CCUGUCAAGACCACUACAAGCAUCAAGACCUACACCAAGGAGGAUGUUUCACCACCUAAAACAACAUCCUACAGCACAAAGAGUGACUACAAGACUGAAGUGGUUACGGUGAAGUCUUCAAAGGACAUCAGUGAUGU